rnacentral:rRNA from 1 species
AGCGAACGCUGGCGGCAGGCCUAACACAUGCAAGUCGAACGGAUCCUUCGGGAUUAGUGGCGGACGGGUGAGUAACACGUGGGAACGUGCCCUUUGGUUCGGAACAACUCAGGGAAACUUGAGCUAAUACCGGAUGUGCCCUUCGGGGGAAAGAUUUAUCGCCAUUGGAGCGGCCCGCGUCUGAUUAGCUAGUUGGUGAGGUAAUGGCUCACCAAGGCUACCAUCAGUAGCUGGUCUGAGAGGAUGAUCAGCCACAUUGGGACUGAGACACGGCCCAAACUCGGACGGGAGGCAGCAGUGGGGAAUCUUGCGCAAUGGGCGAAAGCCUGACGCAGCCAUGCCGGGUGAAUGAUGAAGGUAUUAGGAUUGUAAAAUUCUUUCACCGGGGACGAUAAUGACGGUACCCGGAGAAGAAGCCCCGGCUAACUUCGUGCCAGCCGCCGCCGUAAUAC